UAGGGUUCAACUCCUUUACACACAGAGAUGAUGAUGAUGAUUAUCGAAAUCCUUCAUCUUCUUUUAUCCUAAAUCAAGGUUGAAUGAUUUGCUGGUUUCAGAGAUCUCAAAUCCCAAAUCAAGCGGACCAAUUUAUUAGUUAGGGUUCUUCAUUUCAUCUUCGAUUGAUGGGUGUUCAGCUGCAGGAACUCCCAACUUCUCUUGAUUCCACUUUAGAAUUGCUUCUGCAACUUCAUUAGAGACAACUUGUAAGGCUUACAACUGAAGGCUCCAUCUAUUUACUCUGUGAGAAAUGCUUGAAAGAGACCGAUUUCUGAGACUCAAGGAACUAAGGGACGGGGUUAGUGAGUCCCAGUUUAACCAUUUUCUGAACAUUGAGCUAGAUAAAACCAUAAAGGCUUGGGAGUUUCUCGAUAAGGAUGCCGGCUACAAGCCUCCUGAGUUGAAAUUGAAGCCAAAGUUUAUAGUGAUUACUGCACAGGAAAAUCGUCACACCAAGUUUUUUUCAGAAUAUAUCUCCUAAUAAUGUUCCACCUGGUUAAGAUAAUAUAUGAUGACUCUUUUCUUGACCAUGGGCUCUUACGCCCUUCUAUAUGAUGCAUGAUUAGCUUAUUUUAAUUACUAUACUACUAAUACUACUAACUCAUCUUUAUUACGCUAGUGAUUGUUGAGGGAAUACUGUUGAUGUUGUAUCUAGGUGAACUACUGAGUUCGAAGAAACUGAGAUUAUGUUGCCUUCUAAUUGCAACAUAAUACUUUCAACAGUCUCCAGUACGAGCUUCUUGAACUCUUCUUCUGCCACAAUUUUCUCAUCAUCUGUACCGACCAUAUUGAGCACCUCAUUCACUAUGUGAUAGCAUACAUAAAUUUUACAUAAGACUGUCAGGAACAAACGCAACUAGUAAUUGGUAUCAAGAUUUGUUGAACCUUAGAUGCAGUUUUCCAAUACUGAGACGAGGUUUGUUAUUUACCUUAUUGACGGCUCCAUAGGGAGGCAAACUAGCUGAUGGGGCCAGUGAAUCUGGAGCUAUACACAGAUACUCCUUGGACAGUUCCCCAAUGCGAUUUCCUGUUAAGUCUUUUAGUGCCACAUUCAAUGUCUGCAAGAAGUCUCAAAACACUAACAUUAGCUUACAAAAUUAAUUCAAAGUUUUUAAUGAGAACAAAGUUGAAACAGGAGUGGAAACCUUUUCUAGUUCAAAUUUAUUGGAUAAUAGUCUCUUGAUGCACUUCCAUCAGAUGUAUGUUCACUGUGAGCGACAUUAAAUGGUUGCUCCUACAGAUAUGUCAUGCCCACAACUAUGAUUUCUACUUAUAUGUACAUGCUUAGAAUUGUAGUUCAUCACCGUUCUUUUCUGGAUAUUAAUAUCCUGAUGCGUUCUUUUCUUGAAAUAUCAGGGAACAACGAGGCCUACUCAUUAUCAUGUUCUGCGGGACGAAAUUAGGUUUUUAGCCGAUAACUUGCAGGAGCUAGUGCACUCACUAUAUUAUAUACCAAAGCACUACGACGAUUUCUGUUGGGUAUGAUUGGCUAUAAAAGGGGUUGUAAACAAUCAGCAGAAAACAUCGCUGGUCCAAGACAAUCCUGCACUAUAAAAGUUCAGAGAGGAGCUUUUAGAUCCUCUCCAACCUUCCAUUCACCACCGACUCGAGAAUCACCACCAUCACUACUUCAUUCACAUCAUCUACACCUCUCGGACUUAGGAGAAUUGCCUCUCACCUGUUUGUGAAAACAUUCAAUAGCUCAUCUCUAAAACUCACCACCAGUUUCCCUCACAAGUGAAUUCAUCUCGUCACCACCAUACAUUCCACCUCCACAGACCACCAGCACCUCCAUCAAUCUAUCACCAGUUCCUUCACCCAUUAAACUGCUUUAAUUGUAGUUAUGGUUUUCCCUAAGCAAAUUGUUUGGUGUCUAGCUACGUAUUUCUUGUAAUUUUUUUAUCAUGAGGCUUAUAGUAUGCAUAUGAAGGUUGGGUAACUUAAGUCUGGUAAAAAACAAGGCUACAUUGAAGGUAAACUUUGUGAAAACCUAUGUGUGAGGAGCUCUUCCUAGAAUAUGGUACUGCUAAGCAACUAUAUUUGGUUCCCUCCAUGAUUACAAUAUUUGAGGAGGUCUUCCUAGAAGCGGCGCUCCGAGCACUUUGCUUGCAAACACUAGGUCAGGUACACUCCGAGGCCUAUCCAAUUGAAUACAUACCAGAGGAAUAAAGGGAAUGCCAUAGUGAGAGAUUGGCAUGUACAAAUUCUAGGUCCUGACUCAUAAUUGGUGACCUUGGCUAAAAGUGGGGAUUGAAUUUUAAAUUGUUAUAACAUGUAUUUGAAAUGUAGGAAAUGUUUCUAUACUUGCAUUUCUUUUGAUACUUCACACUUAAUGUCUCUAGUAACUUUAUGUUUGUACGUUCUUAGCGUAACAUAGACCAUGGCUUUAUGUUUGUACGUUCUUAGCGUAACAUAGACCAUGGCUUACUUAUGCUGAUUGAUGAUGCUUGUAGGUUUGAACUUAAUGGUACUUAUACUAAUAUAGAAUUAUAGU